CUGCUGCUUAUCUUCUGUCACUGUGUCAGCUGGGACAGCCACGCAGGUGCCCCUUUCUAUCACGGAGAUAAAAGCUGUGACACAGCCUGGCAGAGCCCAGGAGCUGCUCCCAACCUCUCAUCCCAUCCUCGUGCCCUCCAUCAGAAAACUACAGCCCGAGGAAGCGGCUCGGAGGCAUCUCGAAGACUUGGAUCUGGUUCCUGGCCUCGCGGAAUGAGAAUCCGGAGACUGUGCUCACAUUUCCAUGGCUGGGGGUGAUCUCCGUUCUGUGGCAGGAGCCUGGAGCCCGGGGAUUGAAGAGCUCUGCUCCUCGGCUUGUGAGACAGAAUGACCGCAGGUGCUGAGAGAGAGCAGGAAAUCAUCUUUGUAAAGCUGUCCAGAAAGCCUUGAAUUCAGCCUUAUCUGGAGGAUUACCCCACGCAGUUCAGUUCUUGGCAUUCAGCUCCUCUGCAGUCCCCAGCUUCAGCACAGGAAACUCCUUCACCUAGCUGCUGCCAGCAUGCUUUUGGCGACCCUGGCUGUCCCGUCAGCUGUUACAGGCCAUUAAAGGAUUUGUUUCUCGGCGUAUGAAAAGGCUUAAUUCAAUUCUCAUUCUCUUCUGGCAUUCCUCGGAGAGCCUUCUAGGCUGUCAUCUACUUCUGGCUUCGCUCAGACUCUGCAGUCCAAAGAGUCAUGUGCAGUGACCCGCCACCAUCCCUGCUUCAGACUCCAGAGUCAGGUAGUUAGAUGAUUCCCUUUCAUGUAAGUACUUUUUUAUCUUUCUUAUCUGUGGAGGGAAGCCAGCACAAGUCAUCUUUGAAGGUAAGGAAAAUGGAACCAAUGUUUUGUAUCCCAGAAAUCUCAUUAUUUUCCAACUAAUCUGCUGACCUCGAAUGCAGGGGUUUGGCAGUUUCUUUAAGGGCUGUUGCUAAACAGAGCAGAAGCAGGUCCAUCUUGGGAAAGUCUGCAUGGGUACAAUAUGAAUUUUCUGUAAGGUGAAUUCUUUGGGCUGUGUCAGAAUGAGACACUGUGGGUGACUUGCCUUUGUCUCAAGCUUGAUGGUAGUUGCCUUUGUCUCAAGCUUGAUGGUAGAUUUCACAAGAGGAAAAAAGUGUGUUUAAGAAGUUACUUGAUGCUGAUCUGUCCAGAGUUUUUUUCCCAGGCUGGAUUUAGGGAAGGAUUAUCUCAGAUUUUCAUUUAGUUCUGAAAUCCUGGGUAUUGGUUUUAUAAACUAAACCCCCUUCGCAGCAGGUUGCUUGUUCUGUAUUGUUGUUUUAGCUUGGUGCAUAGAAAGGAAUUUAAAUUCACUGACAGGGUGGGGCUAGCUCCUCGCUGGGGUAAAUCAGCAUAGUUCAGAUAUUUAAAGGCAGAUGCAUCAGUCCUGGCAGCCGAGGAUCUGGCUUACUUUGAUUAAAAUCUGAUGAAGAUUACUCAGCCUUACCAAGGGACUUGGAUUACCAUUCUAUAAAAAGAAGGGCAGGAGAGCAGAGGACAUUAAAUAUAAAAAUAAUCCAACGAAGGAUGUGAAGCUAAAAGCGUGGCACGUUGAACAAUGAUGCAAACACCCUACUGAAACAGGUGGAGGGCCGCAGGGCUGGUGGGUGCACGCAAGGCUGGAAGCUAGGUUUGAGUCAGAAAGACAUUGCUCUUGUCACAGCCCUGGUCUUGUCUUUUAAAGGCAGAAUGUUCAGAAAGAGAGCCUCGCUCCUUAGAAAAUCCCCAGCGGAGUCUUGCAGGAGAAGAAGUGGGUGACAAAUCCUCUGCCUCUGCUUCCUCGGGGACCCAGGCUAGUGCCAAAUCUCACUACAAAGAGGUGAUUAGAGCUGAGGAACAGAAAGUCAGCUCUUACAGAUCUGAAAGCUUGAAAUGUGCAUCGUCUUUAGGGUUUCUUACAGAGGUUGAACUUCACCUCUCCCUUCUAUCGCAGCGUUCGUUUUCCUGGUUCUUUGUUCCUUUGAAAGCAUGAAGUGUAUUUAGGGGCUGUUAUUACUCCACGUGAUUGUGCUCCAUGGGCAGUGACCGAUAGAAGGGCUGCAAUGAGCCCUUUUUUUUUUUGGCCUUUUAAACGUUUCUGUCAAACCUUUCAGCACAUGUCUAGCUUUCCCAAGAUUUCGUAUCCAGUCCCUUAAAAUCAAUACAGUCUGGUCUUGCCUCUGCAGUGGAGCUAUUGAUAGGGAAGAUGCACUUGGGUCUUCAUCUAACUGCCUUUUGAAGCCCCUAAACCCAUUUGUCUCUUCUUUUGAUGGAGCUUGCUGCCUUGCUCAAUGGCUUGCUUGCAUAGGAAGCACCUUCCUUGCUGACCUCUGUUAAAAACGUGGAAGGUCUUCAAGUAGAGUUGCAGGACUUGUGAUUUGAGUGUCCUUCUUUACCCAGACCAAGGAGAACAGAGUGCAUGGUGCGUUGGCCAUUCUGGAAUCUGUCUAGGGUGGCUGGAAGAUGCUUUAAUGGUGUCAGAAGGCUCCGGGAGCCUGGACAGUGAGGUUGAGCGGCCUUAAGAACGUUGCUGACUUAAACUGACGCAUCUAAAUGCGCUGGAGGAAAGACGAGAGGGCUGUUUGGGGACCUCCUGGGUGAUUACAUACAUGGCUGGUCAGCGACAUCGCCUGAGUGCCCCGGCAGCUAUGCCAGUCUUCCAGUUUUCUUUCAUUGCAGUUCGGGUCGGAUGAGGAUAAGAUUGUGUUUUAAUAAGUGUUUGUUAGGGAGUGCUUCCCCCCCCGCCUCCCACCCGCAUGAAACUGUUUAUUUUCCUUGCAGUAACACGUGUGUUGCUCAGCUUCUGCUGUUCCAUGUGUCGUGCUCUGUUACUCUGCCUUGCUCGCAGCCGCAGAGCAGGGGGAACGCUGCCAAGGCUUUUUCUGGGAAUUUGCUCUGGUCGUGCUGCUUCCCCGGGAGCACUCAGCGGAUGCAUGUUGUUUGCAGGGGGGGGGGAACACUCAAAUGUCAGCAUCUGAAGGGAUCACGAAGGAAGCAAGGCGAGCACCAACUACUCUUCCACCUCUCAGAGGUGCCUGCAUACACACAGCCUUGAUGCAACCCUGCUGCAGAUUAUAGACGUGUUUUGGUUGAGAUUCUCUGUGCUUGAUGCAUUGUCUGCCUGCAACGCAGGGCAAACUCUACUCCUCCCUUCUGGCCCGGCCUGUAAUGAUGGAUUAAGUAGGUAAGUAAUAGAGUGGUAAUGAGAUAACCACUGACAUCGAGCAUUAACGUGGGAAUAAAUGAAGUUACCAUCCAGAACUAAUGGCCUGAACUAUCACUGGGUUGUAAUUAAUGAACGUGGUGGCUGAGAUUUACAAGGAUAUUUUAGGAUGCUGUUUGCAUGCAGCUUUGGCUUUUAUGGCUUGGUUGGAAAGAAAUCAAUUAAUGCCAUGAACUUAAUGAAUGAGAUGACGAUGUGCUUUGUCAGAUUGUAGUGCCCCUUUUGUGGAAGCGGCUAGACUGGUGUGCACGUGGAAUGCUGUUGUUUGCCUUACUUCAAGGGACGGAAGAAGUUAGGAUACUGUGAUCUCUGUCUCCCUAGGUCACUUACUCUGUAGUGUGUAGUGGAGCUGUUGCAAAGUGUCUCUGAUGGCCAAACUACACACUAGUGGUGUGCCUGUGCUCAAGAGGCCUUGCUUGGAGAGCUGUCCCUCUCUCCUUGCAUGGCUUAGUAGGCAUGUGACCCUGCCAAACACUUUGGAUAUGUGUGAAUAACACUUUUGAGGUGGUUGCUAGGCUGUUGCAGAAAACACAGAAGAGCAGUCAAAAUUCUUCACGUUAAUUGGUGGGAACAAUCCAGCCAUCUCUGCUGACUGUUGCUUCUCUCAUCUUUCCAUGGCAACAGUCUCUCUACAGCAGCCCAGGUGCUCAUGGUUGGGCAUGCUGGGAUUUCUGAGCCCUCUGUCUUCCAAAUCACCCCCUUGGAGCAUGGAGGGAACAUCUGUACCGCUAAAGUAUGGCAUCACACGAUGCAUCAAAGACAUCUCUUUGUGUAAUCAUGUUCCUUAUGCUGUCAGAGACAGAAAACUUUGGGAACGUGAACUGAACCCUUACAUUUCUUCAGUGCAAAUGCUGUUGCCCUGUUUUUUGAUGAGGAGAGGAAGGUGCUGAGUCUUUCCUGUCCUGGCCGUGUCCAUGGACCGAGCUGUCAUACCAUUCUGAGAGCUGGAGGAAGGAAAGGGACUGGUAAGCAAAGGGAAGGAUGAUGUCUCUCUCUCUGCCACAGAGCCCAGCCUGACUGCUGGUGUCAAGUUGCCUUUUGGAAGCCAGGAUGGUGGCUGGAGGUGAGAAUAAGGAGAGAAAGUGGCUCAGGCACUGCAUCGUCCUCACCUCUGCUCCCUGCUGUGAAUAUAAGCGUGUGGAGAUAGCACAAAGAGGGGUGCUGCCCACUUCUAGCAGGGUAGAGUAGGUAUGGAGGAGGCAUCCCUUCUGCCUUGCCUCUCUGAAGCAUGUUCCAGGCAUGUUCUAGCACCAUUUUCUCUUCUGGGACCUGUUUUACAGGCACUUUUAAUGAUUCUAGGGGAAAAUGAGAGACAGAUGGCCAGUGAUGAACCCAGUCCAAAGCUGCCCAGACUUGAGGGAGGGUGUCGUUUCAGCUGGAAGCAUCACAUCUUUGAGGUGCACGCUCAGUAGUUCCCUUCCACGCUGAGCAGGAGGAAGGAAUUUCCACCUGCUGGACCAGCGUAAGCCAAGACCCAAAUUGAGCAAAGUAUGGUUCAUGGAUUUACACAUUAUGUGAUAUGCACCUUCCCUUCCCCCAGCUUUGGGAAGUUUAUUGCCCCCAACAAAGUAUGCCGUGUGGCAGGCUGUUAUGUGACAGGGGAAAAUUACCCAGACUGUUCUCCAGAAGGCAAGUGAGCAAAAAUUUUCCUCCAACUGGUUCAGGACAAAGUUAAUGUAGGAAAGCCAUUAAAAUUAAUGCUGGUAAUCAAGGAUAAAAACCAGCAGGGCUGUAACAAAAUUUGGACCAGAUUGAGUUUCCCAGCUGUCAUGCUGCAUGCUUUCUUAAAGGCAGCAGGCAGAGGGAGGGUGUAGUGUAAGGCAGGCUUGGAAAGUUCUUGUCAAGGGUGUGAGUUUGGGGGCAUCUGGAUUCUGGUGGCAUUGGCUCCUUGGUCCGGCACUGUCUUUUUUUGUUUUUGAGGAAGCAAUGUCUCUGCUUGGUCUGAUGGUCCUUAUGACUUGUGUUUUAUUCAUAUCAUGUUUACCUGCUUUCUUCCAGAGUCUGCCCUCAGAAUUCAGGUCCUUCUCCAGGACUCUGGGAACCUGCCUGCGUGUGAUUGACGGCAUCACGUGAGCGUGUAUGGGGCUGCAUCUCAUGCUGUCGGGUCAGAGAUUACCUCCAAGCAGCCAAUACUCAAUGUUCAGUUAGAAAAGAUGCAAAGAAGCAGAGCCAUUCCCCUCUCUGUGUCAUCUGCCUCUGAGAGUGGGAGAGUGCUGGCAGAGCGCUACCGGGUCUGUACUGGUAUAGAGAGGAAGGCUCAGAUUUGAUGAUUUGUCCAUUAUCUGGUGGUGGAUACAGCCUAACCUGGGCUCAGAGCAUCCCAAGGUCUGUAUCCUAGUGCAGGAACUGGCUGCUGCUGCUCUCUUCUGAAUAGACAGCUUUCUCCAGCCUCACAGCAUGCUAAUGUAGGCCAGUCACCUUCACCACAACUCCUGGCGCAAGAUAUUCAGCAGACUUGAUGCUUCAUAGUAGGCUGAAUCUGGUAUAACCAAGGCAGAAUUUCUACCUGCCAGUAGUGAAGUAAUGCCCUGUGAUUUCAAGUGACCACUGGUUUGACAGCAGUAGUGAAAGGGAAAGGCAUGAAUAGGCCAGAUAUCAGGAAAACCUUCUCAGGAGUGAUGAGGCUGUGAAAUGGACUGCCCAGGGAGGUGGUGGAGUCACUGUCCCUGGAGGUGUUCAAGAACUGUGGAGACGUGGCACUGAGGGACGUGGUUUAGUGAGCAAUAAUGGUUGAUGGGUGGACAGCUGGAUUAGAUGGGUCCGACUAGAGGUCCUCCAAUUAGAGGUCUUUUCCAAUCUAAAUGAUUCUAUGAAAGCAGUCGACCGUUUUCUUGCAGUCUCUGAGAAGCUUGGAUAUGGUGUCUGAAACGAGCUAAGGAAGCCACCUAAUCUCUGAGCACAUCCACCUUCUGCAGCAUACACCCUUCCAGCCACAAAGAGGUCCUGAGUCCCUCAGUGGCUGCAAAGAACAGCAGGUAGAUGGAGCAGACAGAGAUGGAGAGCAUUCUUUUGUUGCUUUUUUUUGGGGGGGGGGGGAGUAUCGUUGAAGAAUCAGGGUGACAAAAAUAUUUUGAUGGAAGUGACUAUGUGAAAUAUCUUUUCAUUUUGAUUAUUUGAAAAACAAAAACUGUUCAUGGGUUUUAAAAUUCAUGUCCCCUCCGGGUUGCUUUGUUUUGUUUUGUUUCUUAUUCCUUCUCCCUUAUUCCUCAGAGGAAGCCAUCCAAACCUACACGGUGCGUCAUUUCUUGAGGAAAUGCAGUGUGAUCUUUUUUUCCAGUUUAACCUGGGCUGAAAAAUCUUCUGGUGUUUCAUUUGCCUGAGAAAUCGGGAAAAAAAAAGCUUGGAUGAAACAGGAAUCUGGCUGGUUCACAGGGAACCUUCUUGGUUUUGGAGACCCACUUGGGUGGGGUAGCUGCAGGAGCUCUUUGUUGUGCAGGCUGGGGAGGAGGUGAUGCCAUCUUUGCCUGGGCCAUACUUUGUGCCCAAUGCCUCCUCCAGGGGUGAGGGGCAUAAGGGGUGCAGAGCUGUGUCUUGGUUGCAGCAGGGAACUGCUACCACUGAAGUAUGAUUCUCAGCUUUCUGGAGUUGUGGAAAACAUCUGGACAAUGGUUGAAAUUGGAAGAGCGAAGGGCUAUCCUGGCUUUUGAGGGCAUAUCAUGGGAUGUCCCGCAGGUGGCUUGUUGGAGGUGAACCACAGAGGGAGGACUGCACUGGAGAGGCAUAGAGGCUCACAUGGGACGGGAGUGGUGGCAACUGCCUGUAUGCCUGGAAGCAGGGCAAGCAGUGGACUGGGGGUGGAGGAGACCACCUCCGCCUGUUGCUGCCAUCUCCACGAGCUGCCAGCUCUGCCGUGUAGCUUUGCCCAGAUCUGCAGUAGAGCUGCUCAUCCCCAGCCCUGCCAUCCCUGUGCCCCACAUGCUGCCUCUCCUAUAAAUAGCCGGAUGGGAAGCAGAGCGCAGAGCCGCCGCAGAUGGCCCCCAGUUCCACGCGCACUCAUGUGUGAGAUCCCAGAGAGGGGCUGUCAAUUCCUUGCCUACAGCCACCCAUGCAACCUCAUUAAGGAUGGUGUCGUCUUCCUUAACCCCCAUCGCCCCCUCCCUCCCCACUUCAACGUGCCUCCAUUUGAGCACCCUUAUUAAACGUGCACUUCUAAGCAAGGAGCGCUGACUUCCCCUUAAUUGAGGCAUAAUAAUUAGAGCAUUAACACAUUAGGAGGGUGAGACAGCAUGUUUAGCUUUUGUGAUUAAUUAUCUGAGGAUUGUAAUAAGUUGUUAAGACAUUAAUUACUCUGGCAUGUUUAUUGCUCUUUAUUGCAGAACUGACACUUGGUGGAAGAGUUGCUGGUGUGCCUGGCGGUGCACCGUGAGGUGGGCUGGCCAGGGGAGACCUCUGCUCCCCCAUAGGCACUGAGCUGCUGCUUGGGAAUGGAUCUAGGGGAGCAGAAACAGCUCCUGAACCUCCAGCAGGACACCUCGGGAUGGAAGUGGUGUCUGAAUCUCUUAGAGUCGUAGGAUUAUGAAGGUUGGAAUAAAACACUGAGAGCAUCAGCCCAUCCCCACCGUGCCCACUAAACCAUGUCCCUCAAUGCCGCGUUCUCCCUCAUCUUGGGGCAGCCUGGGAGCUGGAAGGCUUAUUUUUAUGGAUGGUUUCAGCUGGAUUUCUCUCUUCUUUCAAACAAAGUGUUUCCUCUCGGAUGGUUUGAGCCUGCCCUCAUUUGGAUCUUUGUUUUUGCAAAUCCAAGUCAGCGUGGCUCAUUGUGCCUGGAUCUGAGGAGGAUGGCUGUCUGUUAACGACAAGCUGAAGUUCAGCGUGUCGGCGGUGGUCAGGGAGUGAACCAGGACCCCAGUGGCCUCGCUUGGCUCUUGAUCAGAUGAAUUUUCUUCUGGAGAGCUGGGAGGUGGGUUAGGGAAGGCUGUUGCUGUGGCAGCAGGAGUGGAUCAGCCCUCUGCAGCCUGUUCUUCACACAGCAAGCUGCUCAGCGACCUGUCAGAGCUGUGCUGAUCAGAUGGGGGCUGAAGGCAGAGUUCAGAGCAGGAGGAUGGGUGGGUCCAUGUGCUGCUGUGACAGAGAAAAAAGGAAGCAGGAGGCUGCGAUGGGCCUGUUCCAGCCUUCUGCUUUUCCCAUGAGUUGCACAGUGCCAGAGUCUUGCUGUCCAGCUCUUUGGGUGGGGGACAGCACAGGAGAAAUGGGGGGAAAUGGAGUAACAGCCCCAGCCACUGGCAUGGAGAAUAAAACUGGGAAAAUGGUGAAAGUCGAGAAGGUGAGAAAGCUGUGAGUUUUGUGUGUUUGCUGUUGGUUUGAUAUUGGAUGGCCCCAUCCCUGCCGACAGCCAAGGUCAGGCUGGAUGGGCUCUGAGCACCACUAGGGCUGUGAGUGUCCCUGCUCAGUGCAGGAGGGUUGGACCAGAUGGCCUCUGAGGGUCCUUUCCAGCUCAAAACGAUGCUGUGGUUCCUUGGGGAGCCCUAGAGCUGAAAUGUCUGGUUUCCAGCCUAUGGCAGUGCCCUUGUGGCUUUGCAACACGUGCUUGUGUCUUGGGUAGCAGCCAAGGGAGUGGGAGGGGGUCUUUAAAUGUGAAGACCCUGUCCGGUUCGCCUUUCCUAAGGACAGACUG
ensembl:lncRNA